GCCACUGUAGCUCAGUCGGUAGAGCAACGCAUUCGUAACGCGUAGGUCACCAGUUCGAAUCUGGUCAGUGGCUCCA
rnacentral:tRNA from 1 species